rnacentral:rRNA from 1 species
CCUACGUGCGGCAGCAGUGAGGAAUAUUGGUCAAUGGGCGCGAGCCUGAACCAGCCGAGUAGCGUGAAGGAUGACUGCCCUACGGGUUGUAAACUUCUUUUAUAAAGGAAUAAAGUGAGGCACGUGUGCCUUUUUGUAUGUACUUUAUGAAUAAGGAUCGGCUAACUCCGUGCCAGCAGCCGCGGUAAUACGGAGGAUCCGAGCGUUAUCCGGAUUUAUUGGGUUUAAGGGGAGCGUAGAUGGGUUGUUAAGUCAGUUGUGAAAGUUUGCGGCUCAACCGUAAAAUUGCAAUUGAUACUGGCAGUCUUGAGUACAGUUGAGGUAGGCGGAAUUCGUGGUGUAGCGGUGAAAUGCUUAGAUAUCACGAAGAACUCCGAUUGCGAAGGCAGCUUACUAAACUGCCACUGACAUUGAUGCUCGAAAGUGUGGGUAUCAAACAGGAUUAGAUACCCCUGUAGUC